UACGUAGGGGGCAAGCGUUGUCCGGAAUCAUUGGGCGUAAAGAGCGUGUAGGCGGCCUGGUAAGUCCGCUGUGAAAGUCCAGGGCUCAACCCUGGAAUGCCGGUGGAAACUGUCAGGCUCGAGUCCGGAAGAGGCGAGUGGAAUUCCUGGUGUAGCGGUGAAAUGCGCAGAUAUCAGGAGGAACACCAAUGGCGAAGGCAGCUCGCUGGGACGGUACUGGACGCUGAGACGCGAAAGCGUGGGGAGCAAACAGG
rnacentral:rRNA from 1 species